UGUUCUCAAAGUGAUGGUCGAGGAGCCACACAAAAUUUUCUAGGUCAGCCUUGGUAAUACACACAGUACUGGAGUGGGGUAUUCCCCCUCUGUUGAUGUGGGUGGGCUCAUCUGAGCUGCCAAGAUCUGAGCCAUGACGGCAUGCAGACACCUACUCUGCACUUCAGGUGAGCACCUCUGUUCAUGUCUUGUGAGCACAAGCACCACUACCAGCAUGUUAGUGGCUACUCUAAGUCAUAUGGAUUGCCAGUAACUUCUUGUUCUGCAACUUCCCAGACUACUCUUGCUGGUGAUACCUGCUGCACAGUCCCAGCCAGUGUCAGACUCUGCCUUUCCUCCCCAGAACUUGGAAGAAAACUGAAGAGAGAUCAGGGAAAGGACGUGGAGACUCAAACAUUCCCAAAUAAAAAGGUGUGUGGAAGAGAUAUCUUUGGUUUUCAGUACCAAAGUUUUGCUCCCGAGUUUGCUGUGGCCUGAAAUUUUGCAUCCUAUUAAAUGUAAUCCAGCAGGACUGCUGUAGCAGUCCUGUGCUGGUGGUGUCUGCUACUUUUGUACAGACUGCUUCCCCAGUUUAAAAGAAGCAAAUACAACCAAACCAAUGAAGAAUUCACCUCCAAAACUUGAUGCUUUGAACUCAGGACUCCGGCUCUGGGACACCCAGCAAAAGCCAAAGUAGUGAAUCCUCCUUUACCUCUACAGCCUCAAGCCAGUCGUUUUGGCUGGCUGUGUUGGAGGUGCUGAGACACUGAGAUGAUUCUGGAUGACAGCAGGGGGCUGGGACUGAGUGUUUUUCCUAAUGUUUGUUUGAGGAAUGGGGUUAAUUCUGGGCUGAAUUCUCACUUGGGACCGUGUGAGACUCCAUGUAAGUUGUUUAGGUUUGUUGUUUCUCCUGUAAACAACAAAACUGCAGGUGCUUCUUCAGGCAUUGUGAAGGAAAACACAUGGCAUAAAAGGGAAUUCUUACUGCAGGCAAGAUUAGCACCCUAAUGGUGGGUGAGGCUUCAUGCAAGUCAUGUCACAAAGGCAUCCUCUGUUCCCCAGGAGAUCAAUGAAUUAGGAGGCUGCCGGUACCCCUGGGCUUGGCGGGGGAUGCCUGACUGUGGGUGCACCAUAUGCGGAUGUAGCACUUCCUCUGGGGUGCUCUGCUCUGAAAUGAGUGGUUACAUAUAAAAAAUGGUUUUGAGGCCUGAACCAGUUGAAGUCAUUGGGAAAAACUCUGCAACUUCAAAGGGGUUUGGAUUAAAGCCAUAAGAAAAUUUCAGUUUGUUUUUUUUAAAUAAACACUCCCCAACUUGUAAUCAACAUUGUGCUCAAAGAAUGGUUUAAAAAAAUCCUGUUUUGCUUUUAAAGCUUAUAUAUCACUCAGAGAGUAUGAUUUUCUGAAUAAAUUUAAAAGUCUGUUUUUUAAUUUUUAUUUUUAUUUCUCAUAUGGCAGUGUGACAUUAUAAUGCCUUAAAUUGUUCUGUGCAUACCAAAAAGUACUCAUGGUACAUACUGUAAUUUCUUGUAAUCAUUUUGUUCACUAGCCUAUGCCCUUGGGAAAAA